GAUCAUUACAAGUGAAGCCGCCGAACGCUGGAAACAGCGGUCAGGGGCUUACACCCACCCGUGUCUAUAUACUCUUGUUGCUUUGGCGGGCCGUGGCCUCCACUGCGGGCUCUGCUCGUGUGUGCCCGCCAGAGGACCAAACUCUGAAUGUCAGUGAUGUCUGAGUACUAUAUAAUAGUUAAAAACUUUCAACAACGGAUCUCUUGGUUCUGGCAUCGAUGAAGAACGCAGCGAAAUGCGAUAAGUAAUGUGAAUUGCAGAAUUCAGUGAAUCAUCGAAUCUUUGAACGCACAUUGCGCCCUGUGGUAUUCCGCAGGGCAUGCCUGCUCGAGCGUCAUUUAACCACUCACGCCUGGCGUGGUAUUGGGGCACGCGGUCUCGCGGCCCUCAAAACCAGUGGCGGCGCCGGUGGGCUCUAAGCGUAGUACAUACUCCCGCUAUAGAGUCCCCCCGGCGGCUUGCCAGAACCCCCCCAAUUUUUACAGGUUGACCUCGGAUCAGGUAGGGAUACCCGCUGAACUUAAGCAUAUCAAUAAGCGGAGGAAAAGAAACCAACAGGGAUUACCUCAGUAACGGCGAGUGAAGCGGUAACAGCUCAAAUUUGAAAGCUGCCAACAGGCCGCGUUGUAAUUUGUAGAAGCUGCUUUGGGUAUCGGCCCGUUCUAAGUUCCUUGGAACAGGACGUCAUAGAGGGUGAGAAUCCCGUAUGUGAUCGGUGCCGGUGCCCGUGUAAAGCGCUUUCGACGAGUCGAGUUGUUUGGGAAUGCAGCUCAAAAUGGGUGGUAAAUUUCAUCUAAAGCUAAAUAUUGGCCAGAGACCGAUAGCGCACAAGUAGAGUGAUCGAAAGAUGAAAAGCACUUUGGAAAGAGAGUUAAACAGUACGUGAAAUUGUUGAAAGGGAAGCGCUUGCAACCAGACUUGCGGGCGGUCGAUCAUCCGAGGUUCUCCCCGGUGCACUCGAUCGUUCUCAGGCCAGCAUCGGUUUCCGGGGUGGGAUAAAGGCGGUGGGAAUGUGGCUCUUCGGAGUGUUAUAGCCCAUCGUGCAAUGCCGCCACCGGGGACCGAGGACCGC
rnacentral:rRNA from 1 species